rnacentral:rRNA from 1 species
GUCUUAAAGAAAUUAAUUUUAAGUCCAAUCUGCCCAAUGAUUUUAUAUUAAAUGGCUGCAAAAUCAAUAAUUGUACAAAGGUAGCAUAAUAAUUUGUUUUUUAAUUAAAAACUAGAAUGAAUGAUUAAAUGAAAUAUAAACUUUAUAAAUUAAAUAUAAAUUUAAAUUUUUAUUUAAGUAAAAAAACUUAAAUAAAUAUAAAAGACGACAAGACCCUAUAGAAUUUUAUUUAUUAAUUUAUUAAUAAUAAAAAUUAUUUUAUAUAAUUAAUUUAAUAAAUUUAAUUGGGGUAAUUAAAAAAUUAAAAAAAUUUUUUUAAUAAUUACACAAUCAUUAUUGAAUAUAAUAUCUUAAAAUUUAAAUUAUUAAAAUUAAUUACCUUAGGGAUAACAGCAUAAUUUUUUUUAAAAGUUCUUAUUAAUAAAAAAGAUUAU